rnacentral:rRNA from 1 species
ACACUCCUGCGGGAGGCAGCAGUGGGGAAUAUUGGACAAUGGGCGCAAGCCUGAUCCAGCCAUGCCGCGUGAGUGAUGAAGGCCCUAGGGUUGUAAAGCUCUUUCACCGGUGAAGAUAAUGACGGUAACCGGAGAAGAAGCCCCGGCUAACUUCGUGCCAGCAGCCGCGGUAAUACGAAGGGGGCUAGCGUUGUUCGGAUUUACUGGGCGUAAAGCGCACGUAGGCGGACUAUUAAGUCAGGGGUGAAAUCCCGGGGCUCAACCCCGGAACUGCCUUUGAUACUGGUAGUCUUGAGUUCGAGAGAGGUGAGUGGAAUUCCGAAUGUAGAGGUGAAAUUCGUAGAUAUUCGGAGGAACACCAGUGGCGAAGGCGGCUCACUGGCUCGAUACUGACGCUGAGGUGCGAAAGCGUGGGGAGCAAACAGGAUUAGAAACCCCGGUAGUCCCAUGA